rnacentral:rRNA from 1 species
GAUGAACGCUGGCGGCGUGCCUAAUACAUGCAAGUCGAGCGAACAGACGAGGAGCUUGCUCCUCUGACGUUAGCGGCGGACGGGUGAGUAACACGUGGAUAACCUACCUAUAAGACUGGGAUAACUUCGGGGAACCGGAGCUAAUACCGGAUAAUAUAUUGAACCGCAUGGUUCAAUAGUGAAGGACGGUUUUGCUGUCACUUAUAGAUGGAUCCGCGCCGCAUUACCUAGUUGGUAAGGUAACGGCUUACCAAGGCAACGAUGCGUAGCCGACCUGAGAGGGUGAUCGGCCACACUGGAACUGAGACACGGUCCAGACUCCUACGGGAGGCAGCAGUAGGGAAUCUUCCGCAAUGGGCGAAAGCCUGACGGAGCAACGCCGCGUGAGUGAUGAAGGUCUUCGGAUCGUAAAACUCUGUUAUUAGGGAAGAACAAAUGUGUAAGUAACUAUGCACGUCUUGACGGUACCUAAUCAGAAAGCCACGGCUAACUACGUG